CCUACGGGUGGCUGCAGUGAGGAAUAUUGGUCAAUGGUCGGGAGACUGAACCAGCCAAGCCGCGUGAGGGAGGAAGGUACAGAGUAUCGUAAACCUCUUUUGUCAGGGAACAAAGGCGGGGACGUGUCCCCGGCUGAGUGUACCUGAAGAAAAAGCAUCGGCUAACUCCGUGCCAGCAGCCGCGGUAAUACGGAGGAUGCGAGCGUUAUCCGGAUUUAUUGGGUUUAAAGGGUGCGCAGGCGGUCUGUUAAGUCAGCGGUCAAAGCCCGGGGCUCAACCCCGGCCCGCCGUUGAAACUGGCAGUCUCGAGUUGGAGAGAAGUAGGCGGAAUGCGCGGUGUAGGAGUGAAAUCCGUAGAUAUCUGGAGGAACAUCAGUGGCGAAGGCGACUAUCUGGAACAUAACUGACGCUGAGGAGCGAAAGCGUGGGUAGCAAACAGGAUUAGAUACCCGAGUGGUC
rnacentral:rRNA from 1 species